rnacentral:rRNA from 1 species
UACGUAGGGUGCAAGCGUUGUCCGGAAUUAUUGGGCGUAAAGAGCUCGUAGGCGGUCUGUCACGUCGGCUGUGAAAACCCGGGGCUCAACCCCGGGCCUGCAGUCGAUACGGGCAGACUAGAGUGCGGUAGGGGAGACUGGAAUUCCUGGUGUAGCGGUGAAAUGCGCAGAUAUCAGGAGGAACACCGGUGGCGAAGGCGGUUCUCUGGGCAUGUCCUGACGCUGAGGAGCGAAAGUGUGGGGAGCGAACAGG